AAGAAGGGAGGUUGCUGAGGCAGUUUUAGUUUAUUACAUAACUCAUAUAAGAAGUCCGAAUCAUGCCUGUUUGCUGGUUGUAACAACUAACAGAAGUAGAUUCAUUUUAUAAUUAUACUCUAAGGCCUGCCUAAGUGUUGGACAAGGAUCCUAUAUGCAUGACAUCUACUGGAUUCAGAAAAAACAAUGAAACAGUAAGGCUCGAAAUGAACUGUUUGAAUGCAUACUCGUUAAACUUGCUAAAUGAUAGAAUAAGAUUAUUAAAAGAGAGGUAGGAUUUAAGUGAAUUGAUUAAAAGCUCUACAACUAACAGUGCCCAUUAUUACUGAUUUUAGAUUUAUGCUUAAAUCAGAUUCGAUUAGGAAUUCCUAUAGGCAUGCUUUCUAUGCGUUGCUGAUUUUAAACCUUGUAGGCAUGGUGUAAAAAAUGCAGAAGCCUUAUAGAUAUAGUAUCUAAAUGCGUAAGACUGGUUUUAAACCUAGAAACAUGGUAUCUAGCUUGCAGAAUUGUUUUAAAACCUAUGAGCAUGGUAUCUAGAUGUAAUUGAAUAGGCAGAAUUGACAAUCCUAUAGGCAGGAUUUCUAUAUGAAGUUGAGUAUGCAGAAUUCAGAAUGGAUCUAUAGGCAUGAUUUCUAUAUGAAGUUGAAUAGGUAGAAUUCAUAAUGGACCUAUAGGCAUGAUUUCUAUAUGCCUUUUGAAUAUGCAGAAUUUAGAACACCUAUAGACAUGGUUUCUAUAUGAAAGUUGGAUAUGCAAGAAUAGAGUAAUCCUAUAGUCAUGAUUUCCACCCUUUGCAUACAUAGUUACCCAUCCCUUUUCACUAACCAUCCCCAAGUGUUUAUUACAAAUUAUUACAACCCAGAAUAAAUAAAAAUACAUAAGAAACAAAACAAAUACAACUAGAGGAAGCCUGAUUCUUGACUUCCUCUCUGAAUUAUGAGAUAGACCAACUCAAGAGACCAUUGAUCCAAAGCCUUUCUCCCAUUUGAGUGUGUCAAAGUUCCCUAAGAGCCUCAAUGGGACUCCAGGCAGUGCUCACACCCAAAUGUAUUAUCAGAAUGGGGACAAGUGCAGUAUGGAAGGGCCAACCCUCAAGUGUCCAAGUUCAGAUGGAGCUCAAAAGGGGUCCUAAGGCAAGGCUCACAAGAGGGGGCAGAACUUAAGGAUUAAGAAAGUGUGCAAGUGAGGAACAAAAUUCUAAAAGGGGGAAAAGAGAGGGAAGUAACUACAAAUAAGUACAGAAAAAGGGGUUCAGGGGGAAUAAGGAUAUUGUAAAGAGCCUAUUACUCAGGCAAGGGUAGGCUUUAGGCAUGCCCAAUAAUGGAGGAUGCUAGCAUACCUAUAAGCCUGUCAGAACACACACUAUUAGAGGCUAGGAUCCCGGGGGAUCAAGUUUGAUUCAUGGACAAUAAUUUGCAGUAUUGACAUGCCUCAAACCAUAGCAUGAAAACAUAUGGGUAGGUGUUAGGGAUUCAUAGUAUAACAUGCAAAAAGAAAUUUCAGCAUGCUAGACUAAGUGCAUUGAACUAUACCUAAGUAGUAGGCAGACAUGGAAGUAAAGGUAGUAAAUAUACAUAUUGUUGUGAUUGUUGAAAAUCUUAAUCAGAACAUACCAAUUUAAAGAAGCAAAUGGAGAAAAAGCAGGCAACAGGACUUGCAAACAGGCUACAGUACAAGUAACAAGAGAGAAUACUUUUUAGUGUAAGUGUGAGUUCAGAAAAAGCUACGAGUGUUGGUGUCCUUGUGUCAAUGAAAGAGUCAGGUAUUUAUAGUGUGAAAACAAGCUGAAAAUAAGGUAAGGAUUGUAGUUUAGAAAUAAUUAAGAAAAUAUGUGUCAAUUAAAAUCAACCAGUAUCAAAGACUUCCUUUAAUUAAGGAAUUAAAUCAAACGGUAGCAUGCAAGUACUAAAUAAGGGAAUAAAUCAUAUUAGGGCUGAAUAUGACCAAUAAAAGAAAUCAUAUUAGGGCUGAAUAUGACCAAUAAGGAAAUAUUUCCAACAUAGUACAAGUACACAGUAGGUAAUAGAGGCUAGGUUCAUCAGACUCUAAUCAAGGAAAGGCCUGUAAGAAUCUCAUACCAAUGUAGUCAAGGUAAGGGGAUCAAAUCGACUUAAGUAGAAAAGGUAGCGGUCGAAGGUUCGAAGGAAAGUAUUCAAAUAAAUCCAAGAAGCAGGGAAGUCAGAAAGAAUCCAUUACAAGAGUGCAAUAAGAAUUACACAAAGAGAUUUGAAAUCAGUCCACAAUCAAAGGUUAUUUUGUGAGGGAAAUUUAGCAUAUAAAGGAGUGCAUAACAUUAGGCACGCAAGACUGAAAUCAUGGAAAAGAGAAUAAUCACACGACAGUCACAUAGGUCAAAUUCACAAUCUUAGUAAUAGAAAAGGGGAGAGUAUCAGAAGCAUGCAAAAGGGUCAAGUAGAAAGCUUUUCUGAAAACUGUAAUCCAGUUCCAAUGAAAGCAGGAAAUUGAAAACACAUAAUGCACAGAAGUUGAAGCAAAGAUUUCAAUACUUAGUUGAGAAACAAAUGAAGCAACUUCAGAAACCCAAAUAUGUCCAAAGAGAUUAGGGUUUUGAAACCAAUCAAGUUCAGAGAUAAGGAACCAACAAAUCACGUUGCAAAUAGCCUCAAAACUCGGAUGGACCCCCAAAUUCUAGGGUUUUUACCAUUAAUCAAGUAUAGAGACAAAAACAAGUAAAUCAGGAAGAAAUACUAACGAAAUAAGUUCAGAAAUCCCAAAAUGGAACUAAGACUUUUAGCAUGCAUUUUCCAGUAGAAGAAACUCAUGAGAAACAUAGUAAAAGAACAACAUAAUAAACAUAGUAGAAGAACACAUAAAGAGGCACAGUAGAAGAAACUCAUAAGAAACAUAGUAGAAGAAUCACAUAAGAAACAUAGUAGAAGGGACACAUAAGGAAAUCAGUAGAAGAAACUCAUGAGAAACACAACAGAACAUGUUAAAGAUAAAAAAACCUAAAUCAAAAAAGAUGAAGGUUUUGAAAGCUGAGUUUUUGAAAGAAACUUUUGAGAAAACGUUUUCAAGUUUAGGGUAAGCACAGAUCUACAGCGGAUCUAAAAGAAUCAGAAGAACCUUGAAAGUUAGGGUUUCAAAAGAAACGCAGAGAGUGAGAAAGGCUUGGGAAACAUCGAUCUAAGCAAGAGAAGUCAAUAUUAGGCUCGAACAACCAUGUUUGGCCGGAGCAAGGUCGGACACAGCCAUGGAACUCGAAUCGAACAACAUCUGGACCUCACAUUUUUAUGAUUAGGCCUUGACACUUCAGUAACCAGGCGUGCAGGAGUUAUACCAGGCCGGUAUAGGACUUCAAUAGCCUUGGAAGCCAUGGAUUCUGGUGAUUUUAGGGUAGAAGUGGAGGGAGGCGGCUAGGGUUUGAGAAGCUUUGAGAGAGAAUUGAAAGAAAGGGGGGAUUCAAGGGCAGCUACAGAAGUAAAUGACAUAGGAUUUGGGGGUAGGUUAGGUUAAAAAGGAAGGGGUGAAUAUGAGUCGUCGAUCUAAGUGAUCAACGGCUGGGAUUAAAAGGGGGAUCCGGGCGAGUUAUUAAAACGGGUUAUGGGUCGGUUAGAUUUAAGAUUUGGGCUAUCUAAUUGGGUCAUUAGGUUGGGUUUACCUAUAUUUUAGCACAAAUAUGAGAAUCCAAUAAAUGAAUUACCAAAAAGAUAAUUUUGGGAAUAAUUAUUGGGGUUUCCUGAUAAAAUAGGGCAAUAAAUUGAUUUAAAAAAUUCUUAAAAAUUAAGGAAAACUAAGAAAACCUUUUGACAUACUUAUAUAUGCAUAUACAUGCUAUUUUGAAAGUAUUUUGCAUAUUAAAAAUAUACAGGGAAAAUGGGGUAUCAACACUAAGUUUCGGAGAGUUUUGGGACACUUAGUUCCUAAACGAGAGCUUAAGUGUUGGAAAGUUGAUCAUAGUCGGAACAGUGUGAAUACGGCCUCGGAAUCUAUAUCCAAUGGUUCUGUUAGCUCCGUUGGGUGAUUUUAGGGUUAGGAGCAUGUUCGGAUUGUGUUUUGGAGGUCCGUAGCUAAUUUAGGCUUGAAAUGCCAAAAGUUUAAUCUUGGAAGUUUCUAGUUCGAUAGUGAGAUUUUGAUACGAGGGUCAGAAUACAAUUCUAAGAGUUGCAGUAGUUUCGUUAUAUAAUUUGGGAUGUGUGCACAAAAUUUCAGGUCAUUCAGAGGUGGUUUGGUUGGGUUUUUGAUCAAAAACAUAAAUCGGAAGAUUUUGGAAAGCUUAAGCUUGAAUCCGAUGUGUUUUGGUUGAUUUGAUGUCAUUUGAUGUGUUUUGAAGAUUUUUACAAGUUUGAAUAAGGUUUUAGGAUAUUUUUGUGCUUUUGGUUGAGGUCCCAGGGGCCUCGGGUGUAUUUCAGAUGCUCAACAGAUCAUUUUUAGUUGUUAAAAAGAUGCAGAAUUGCAAGUUCAGCUAUUGCAGAUAUUUACUCUUCGCGUUCACGAGUGGACCCUCGCAUUCACGAAGAGUCAGUGGAGGUUAGUGAAAUUUUAGUCUUCGCGUUCGCGAGGAAGGCUCCGCAUUUGCGAAGGGCUGGAUACUUGCGAACUGCGUUCGCGAUUGGUCUUCGCAUUCGCGUAGGAGGAAAAUUGGUCCACUAGAAUUUACUCAUCGCGUUCGCGAUGAGAGGAACACAUUCGCAAAGGCUUGUCUGGGUAAAUCAUCGCGUUCGUGAGGGACUUGUCGCGUUCGCGUAAGAGGAAUUUUGGUCAACGUCAUUUUUGUGCUACGCGAACGCGAGGCCUUAGCCGCGUUCGCGAGGAAAGAAUUAUAUGCCUAGGCAGAAUGUUUUAAAAGGUUUAUUUCGCGAAUUUUACCCUAGUUUCCUCCAUUGUUUGGUGAUUUUGAAGAUUUUUGAAGAGGGAUUCAAAGGAAAUCACUUGGAGGUAACAUUUUGUACUUCAUAACUUGUUUUUAUAUGAUUAAGGACCUAAUUAGUGGUGAAAAUGUGGGAAAAAGGGGUACUACUUAGGGCUUGAGUUUAAGAGACCUUUAAAAGGGGAUUUGAGGGGUCAUUUGAACUCCGAUUUUAGUGUUCUUGUUAUGUAUAGACUCGUGAUAGUACGAGGUUUCUGAAAAUGUAAAUUUCGCCCGAUUCUGAGAUGUGGGCCCGAGGGUCAUUUUUAUCAUUUUACAUAAUUUCGCGUAUUAGCUUAUAAUUUAAUUAUAGAAUCAAUUACUUGAACUGUUAUUUACAUUAUGCAAUUGACUUGAAUAGAUUUGGGCCAUUUGGAGUCGAGUACUCGUGGUAAAGAUGUGAUGUUGGCUUGAUUUUGAGCUGGUUCGAGGUAAGUGGCUUGUCUAACCUUGUGUGGGGGACCUUCCCCUUAGGAUAUGAUAUAUUUGAUAAUUUAAAUACCUUGUACGUGAGGUGAUGAGCAUGUACUUGAUCUAAUUGUUGAAAAUCUGGUUUUUCCUUAAGUACUUCAGUUGAGUUCUUUUUCCUGUUUUAUUCUACUUAUGUGUUUAGCCUGUUGCUAGUUUGGAAAAGCAUGUUUAGUUGAUUUAUUGCCUAUUCGCUUAAACUGACUUAAUUGGGUAUUCUUGUGUUGCUUCUAUGUGUUUUUACUUUGGGACUACGGUAUGGCAUCCCGGGAGAUCUCCUGUACGUAUUUAUUAUCUGAACUGAGGUGCAGGAUACCAAGAGAUCCCUGGCAUAUAUAUUGAGGAUACCAAGAGAUCCCUGGCAUGUAUAUUGAGGAUACCAAGAGAUUCUCAGGAUACCAAGAGAUCCCUAGCAUAUAGUGAGGAUACCGAUAGAUCCUCGGGAUACCAAGAGAUCCCUAUCAUACAUUGAGGAUACAAAGAGAUCCUCGGGAUACUAAGAGAUCCCUAUUAUACAUUGAGGAUACCAAGAGAUCCUCGGGAUACCAAAAGAUCUCUAGCAUAUAUUGAGGAUACUGAGAGAUCCUCAGGAUACCAAGAGAUCCCUAUCAUACAUUGAGGAUACCAAGUUAUCCCUAGCAUAUAUUGAGGAUACCGAGAGAUCCUCGUGAUACCAAGAGAUCCCUAUCAUACAUUGAGGAUACCAAGAGAUCCUCUGGAUACCAAGAGAUCCCUAGCAUACAUUGAGUAUACCAAGAGAUCCUCGGGAUACCAAGAGAUCCCUAGUAUAUAUUGAGGAUACUAAGAAAUUCUUGGGAUAUUGAGAGAUCCCCGGUUACUUCCUUGUGGUUUGCCUUCAUCUCUGUUUUCCGUUAUUGUACUUUUAUUAUCCUGUAUAGGUUCUUACUAUAGAUUAUCAAUUGUACUGCUUAUCUUAUCCUGUCACCUUUAUAUUUAUUUAAUCUCAGUAGGGCCCUGACCUUCCUCAUCACUACACUUACUGGGUAUUGUUGUGGUGUACUCAUGCCCCUUCCGCGCAUGUUUUUCACGUGCAUCCAGAUACCGCUACUCAGGCCUAUCAUGCUUGAGGAGGCGACUGCUCAAGAGAUUUCGAGGUAUAUCUGCCGCGUCCGUAUACCGAGAAGUCCCUUUCUAUUCCUGCUUUUAGUAUUUAGCCCUUCUGUAUUUUUCUAUUCUUAUUAGACAUUCUGGAGUUAGAGCUAUGUAGUAUUGAUCUUAGCUUGUGAUUUUUGGGUUUUCGAGUCUUGGAUUUAUAUAUUGGUAUUGAGAGUUAAACAUGGUGUAAGACGAGCGGCACAUUUAAACAUUGUUACCAUUUUAUUCCUGUUUUAAAUUGUUUACUUCCGCAAAAUUUUGGUUUUUCUUUUGCAAAUUAGACUUACCUAGCUGUAGAGACUAGGUGCCGUCACGAUGGUUCACGGAGGGUGAAUUGGGAUCAUGACAAGUUGGUAUCAGAGCUGUAGGUUCAUAGGAGUCAUGAAUCACAAACCGAUUUAUUAGAGUCUCGCUGAUCAGUACAGAGACGUCUCUACUUAUCUUCGAGAGGCUAUGUAACCAUUACGAAAAUUCCACUUAAUUUGAUUUCCCUAUCGUGCGAGAUUUUUGACAUCACAAAUUCUGAACUUCUAUCUUCUAUUCUCUCACCGAUGGUGAGGACAUACGUUACCUGAAAUGAUCAUGCACGCAUGUCCCUGCAAGAGUCACCAGAAGUCGGGGUCGUGGUAGAGGCCGAGGAUGUGCACGCGCAUGCGCACGUGAUGAAGUAUGAGCACCCACAUGAGCUGCCACCAAUGAGCCACCAGCCAUUCCAGCUAGAGCCCAGGCCUCGGAUGCGCCUACUGCUACUACUACUCCAGCCUUUCAGGAGACAUUUGCAUAGUUUCGAGCAUGUUUGGUAUGUUAUUUUAGGCGGGGUUGAUUCAGGUUGUACCAACUACUUCACAAAUCAGGGAAGGGACCCAGACUUCCACCACCCCCACUCCAGAGUAGUGAGUUCCCAUUGUUCAAGUUCUAGGUGUCAUGGCAACACAACUUGUGGUCCCAGUUCAGCGGGUGGUGAGGACCUCUCGUUGAGUAGGGGACAGGCGGGUCCAGGAGAGAACGGACAGACGAGGAUAGAGACCCACUGGUCAUUAUUUUGGAGGAAGUGUAUAGCAUGGUAGAGCUUUUGUGGGUCAGCCAGCUUAGUUGCUUCUCAGAUUUCAUACAGUGUUUCAGGUGUUCAGGGUUCUUAGGGCACCCGUACAACACAGUUCCCACUGCCAUGUCCUCCCACAACUUGUUUUGAGUGUGGUUACACAUGUCAUGUGGUAAGGGAUUGCCCCAGACUUUGGGGGACUACACCUCUAUAGAGUUCUCAGCCGCAGCGUGCCCGGCAGAGUUCUCAAGCUAUGAUCACAGCUCCAGUUUCUCCCCCACCUGCUUAGCCAGCUAGAGGUGGAGGUCGGGAAGGUAGAGGUCGCCCUAGAGGGGGAGGCCAGGCUAGAUACUAUGCCCUUACUGUCCGUACCGAGGCUAUUGCCUACGAUUCUAUCAUCACAUGUAUUAUAUUGGUUUGCCACGGAGAUGCAUCAUUUCUAUUCGAUCCAGGCUCUAAUUACUCUUAUGUGUCUUCUUAGUUUGCUAAGUAUUUGGGUGUAUCUCGGGAUUCUUUGAGUUCCCCUGUUUAUAUUUCUACUCUUGUGGGAGAUUCUCUUAUUGUGGAUCACGUUUAUCGGUCGUGUUUGGUUGCUCUUAGUGGUUUUGAGACCAGAACUGAUCUAUUAUUGCUCAACAUGGUAGAUUUUGAAAUUAUCUUGGGCAUGUAGUUAUUGUCACCCCAUUAUGCUAUUCUUGAUUGUCACGCCAAAACCAUGACGCUAGUUAUGCCAGGUGUACCGCGUGUUGAGUUGAGGGGUACUUUAGAUCGCACUCCUAGUAGAGUUAUUUAUUUUCUUAAAGCUCAGCGUAUGGUUGAGAAGGGGUGUGACGCGUAUUUAGCUUAUGUGAGAGAUGUCAGUAUUGAUACCCUUUCAGUUGAUUCUGUUCCAGUAUUACGGAAUUUUCCCGAUGUGUUUCCAACUGAUCUUCCAGGCAUGCCACCUGGUAGAGAUAUUGAUUUUGGUAUUGAUCUGUUGCCGAGCACUCAGCCCAUUUCUAUUCCUCCGUAUCAUAUGGCUUCUCCUUAGUUGAAGGAUCAGUAACAAGAAUUGCUUCACAAGGGUUUAUUCGGACUAAUGUAUCACCUUGGGGUGCUCCUAUCUUGUUUGUAAAGAACAAGGAUGGUUCUAUGCGUAUGUGUAUCAAUUAUCGCUAGUUGAACAAAGUUAUAGUUAAGAAUCAUUAUCCUUUGCCUCGUAUUGAUGAUCUGUUUGACCAGCUUCACGGCGCACAGGUAUUUUCUAAGAUUGAUUUGCGGUCAGGUUACUAUCAGUUGAAGAUGUUGGAGCCAGAUAUCCCGAAGACUGCUUUCAGGACUCGAUAUGGUCAUUACAAGUUCCUUGUCAUGUCAUUUGGGGUGACCAAUGCCCCAGCAGCCUUUAUGCAUUUGUUGCAUACUGUGUUUCGACCGUAUAUUGUCUCGUUCAUCAUUGUCUUUAUUAAUGAUAUUCUAGUGUAUUCUCGGAGUCAGGAAGAUCAUGAGCAGCACCUGAAGACUGUGCUUUAGACUCUGAGAGAGAAGAAUUUAUAUGCUAAGUUCUUGAAAUAUGAGUUUUGGUUGGAUUCAGUGGCAUUCUUUGGCCAUGUGGUAUCGAGUGAGGGUAUUCAGGAAGAUCCAAAGAAGAUAAAGGUCGUGUAGAGUUGUCCUAGACCAUCCUCAGCUACAAAGAUCCACAGUUUCCUUGGUUUGGCGGGUUACUACCAUCAUUUUGUGGAGGGGUUUUCAUCGAUUGUGGCCCCUAUGACCAGGUUGACCCAGAAUGGUGCUCUGUUCUAGUAGAUGGGGGAGUGUGAGGCGAGCUUUCAGAAGCUCAAGACAACUUUGACCAUAGCCCCAAUUUUGAUACUACCUACAUGUUCAGGGUCUUAUACGGUCUAUUGUGAUGCCUCAAGGAUUGGCUUCGGAGUGAUGUUGAUGCAGGACGGUAGGUGAUUGCCUACGUAUCCAGGCAGUUGAAGAUUCAUGAGAACAACUGCCUUGUUCAUGACCAUGAGUUAGCUGCCAUUGUUCACGCCCUGAAGAUUUGGGGCCAUUAUUUAUAUGGGGUUCCCUGUAAGAUUUAUACUGACCAUCGGAGCUUGCAGCACUUGUUCAAGCAAAAGAAUCUAAAUUUAUGCUAGAGAAGGUGGUGAGAGUUGUUGAAGGACUAUGACAUCACUAUUUUGUAUCACCCGGGCAAGGCUAAUGUGGUGGCCGAGUAAAGAGUUUGGCUUAUUUACCAGCAUCAGAGAGGCCUUUGGCGAUGGAUGUUCAGGACUUAGCCAGCCAGUUUGUGAAAUUGGAUCUUUCGAAGCCUAAUCGGGUUCUAGAUUGCGUGGUUUCUCGGUCUUCCUUAUUUGAUCAUAUCAGGGAGCGACAGUAUGAUGACCCCCAUUUUCUUGUCCUCAAGGACAAGGUUCAGCAUGGUGAUGCCAGAGAUGUGACUAUUGGUGAUGAUGGGGUAUUGAGGAUGCAAGGCUGAAUUUGUGUACCCAAUGUUGAUGGGAUGCGAGAGUUGAUUCUAGAGGAGGCCCAUAGUUUGCGGUAUUCCAUCCAUUCGGGUGUCGCGAAGAUGUAUUUGGAUUUGAGGCAAUACUAUUGGUGGAGGCAGAUAAAGAAAGAUAUAGUUGGAUUCGUAGCUCGGUAUCUCAACUAUCAACAAUUGAAGUAUGAGCACCAGAGACCGGGUGAGUUGCUUCAGCAGAUAGAGAUUCCGGAGUGGAAGUGGGAGCGAAUCACCAUGGACUUUGUAGUUGGGCUCCCACGGACUUUGAGGAAGUUUGAGGCUAUUUGGGUGAUUGUAGAUCGGCUGACCAAGUCUGCUCAUUUUAUUCCUGUGUGUACUACUUAUUCUUCGGAGCGGUUGGCAGAGAUUUAUAUCCGGGAGAUUGUUCGUUUGCAUGGUAUUCCAGUAUCCAUCAUCUCAAAUAGAUUUACUCAAUUUACAUCAUGGUUCUGGAGGACCGUUAAACAUGAUUUGCAUACUCGGGUGGAGUUGAGUACAGCAUUUCACCCUCAGACGGAUGGGCAGUCCGAGCGCACUAUCCAGAUUCUUGAGGAUAUGCUCCGUGUGUGUGUUAUUGAGUUUGGAGGGUCUUGGGAUCAGUUCUUGCCAUUGGCGGAGUUUGCUUACAACAACAGUUAUCAGUCCAGCAUUCAGAUGGCACCGUAUGAGGCUUUAUAUAGUAGGCAGUGUAGAUCUCUGGUGGGUUGGUUUGAGCCGGGUGAGGCUAGAUUAUUGGGCACAGACUUGGUUCAGGAUGCUUUGGAGAAAGUUAAGGUGAUUCAGGAUAUACUCCGUAUAGACCAGUCCAGACAAAAGAGUUACGCAAACCUGAAGGUUCGUGAUGUUUUCUAUAUGGUUGUAGAGUUGGUUCUGCUUCGGGUUUUGCCUAUGAAGGGCAUUAUGAGAUUCGGAAAAAAAAGGAAAGUUAAGUUUGAGAUUUGUUGGCCCUUUCGAGAUACUGAGGCGUGUUGGGGAGGUUGCUUAUGAGUUUGCCUUACCUCCCAGCUUGGCAGGAGUUCAUCUUGUAUUUCAUGUUUCGAUUCUCCGGAGGUAUCACGGUGAUCCAUCGCACGUGUUGGAUUUCAGUUCAGUCCAGUUGGACAAGGAUCUAUCUUAUGUUGAGGAGCCAGUGGCAAUAUUAGACAGGCAGGUCAGAAAGCUAAGGUCAAAGAACAUUGCAUCAGUGAAGGUUCAGUGAAGGUUUAGUAAUGGGGUCAGCCGGUCGAGGAGGCGACCUGGGAGGCCGAGCAGGAUAUGCGCAACCGUUACCCUCAUCUUUUCACUACUUCAGGUAUGUCUAUAUGCUCGUUCGAGGACGAACGAAUGUUUAAGUGUAGGAGGAUGUGACAACUUGGCCGGUCGUCUUCAGAAUUAAUGCCCCGAUCCCCUAUUAGCUGCUUUCCCCGAGCUUAUUUCUGCUAUUUUGAUUUGACGGGAUGUUCGGUUCUAUGUUUUGGAGAGUUUUGGGACACUUAGUCCCUAAAUUAGAGCUUAAGUGUUGGAAAGUUGACCAUAGUCAGAAUAGUGUGAAGACGGCCUCAGAAUGGAAAUCUAAUUAUUCUGUUAGCAUCGUUGGGUGAUUUCGGGGUUAGGAGCGUGUUCGGAUUGUGUUUUAGAGGUCCGUAGCUAAUUUAGGCUUGAAAUGCCGAAAGUUUAAUUUUGGAAGUUUCCAAUUCGAUAGUGAGAUUUUGAUACGAGGGUCGGAUUGGAAUUUUGAAAGCUUCAGUAGUUCUGUUAUGUCAUUUGGGAUGUGUGUGCAAAAUUUCAGGUCAUUCGGAGGUGGUUUGGUUGUGUUUUUAUCAAAAAACUAAUUCGGAAGAUUUUGGAAAGCUUAGGCUUGAAUCCGAUGUGUUUUUGUUGAUUUUAUGUCGUUUGAGGUGUUUUGAAGAUUUGUACAAGUUUGAAUAAGGUUUUAGGAUAUGUUGGUACUUUUGGUUGAGGUCCCGGGGGCCUCGGGUGUAUUUCGAAUGCUCAACGGAUUAUUUUUGGUUGUUAAAAAGUUAUCGAAUUGCAGGUUCAACUGUUGUAGAUAUUUACUCUUUGCGUUCGCGAGUGGACCCUCGCGUUCGCGAAGAGUCAGUAGAUGUUAGUGAAAUUUUAGCCUUCGCGUUCGCGAGGAAGGCUCCACUUUCGCGAAGGGCUGUAUACUUGUGAACCGCGUUCGCGAUUGGUCUUCGCAUUCGCGUAGGAGGAAAAUUGGCCCAGUAGAAUUUAUUCAUCGCGUUCGCGAUAAGAGGAACACAUUUGCGAAAGCUUGUCUGGGUAAAUCAUCGCAUUCGUGAGGGCCUUGUCACGUGUACGAGGACUUUUGGUCAACUUCAUUUUUGUGCUUCACGAACGCGAGGCCUUGACCACGUUCGCGAAGAAGGAAUUAUAUGCCUGGGCAGAAUGUUUUAAAAGGUUUAUUUUGUGAAUUUUAGCCUAGUUUCCUCCCUUGUUAGGCGAUUUUGAAGCUUUUUGAAGAGGGUAGAAGAGGGAUUCAAGGAGAAUCACUUGGAGGUAACAUUUUUGACUUCAUAACUUGUUUUUAUGUGAUUAAGGACCUAUUUAGUGGUGAAAAAUUUGGAAAAAAUGGGUAAUUAGAGCUUGUUAGGAGACCUUUAAAUGAGGUUUUGAGGGGUCAUUUGGACACCGAUUUCAGUAUUCUUAUUAUGUAUAGACUCGUGAUAGUACGAGGUUUCUGAAAAUAUAAAUUUCACCCGAUUUUGAGACGUGGGCUCGAGGGUCAUUUUGGUCAUUUACAUAAUUUCGCGUAUUAGCUUAGAAUUUAAUUGUAGAAUCAGUUAUUUGAAGUGUUAUUUACAUUAUGCAAUUGAAUUGAAUAGAUUUGGCCCAUUGGAGUCGAGUACUCUUGGCAAAGACGUGGUGUUAGGUUGAUUUUGAGUCGGUUCGAGGUAAGUGGCUUGUCUAACCUUGUGUGGGGGACCUUCCCCUUAGGAUANNNNNNNNNNNNNNNNNNNNNNNNNCUCAAACUUCCUUAAUUUCAGUUACGUGAAGCGAUGUUAGGCUAGAAUUAACUGUUUUACUUGGUAUGAAAUUUUUGCUUAAUUGGGUAUGUGUUGCUGCUAUGUGUUUUUACUUUGGGACUACGGGACGACAUCUCAGGAGAUCCCCUGUAUGUAUUUAUGAUCUGAACUGAGGUGUAGGAUACCAAGAGAUCCUUGGCACGUAUAUUGAGGCUACCAAAAGAUCUCACGUAUAUUGAGGAUACCAAGAGAUCCUCGGGAUAACAAGAGAUCCCUAGCAUAUAUUGAGGAUACUGAGACAUCCUUGGGAUACCAAGAGAUCCCAAACAUACAUUAAGGAUACCAAGAGAUCCAAUUUCUUGAACGGAAAAAAUAGAUUCUUUCAUUACUAAGAGAUCCCUAUCAUACAUUGAGGAUACCAAGAGAUCUCUAGUAUAUAUUAAGGAUACCGAGAGAUCCUCGGGAUACCAAGUAAUCCCUAGCAUAUAUUGAGGAUAUCGAGAGAUCCUCGGGAUACCAAGAGAUCCCUAUCAUAUAUUGAGGAUACCAAGUAUACAUUGAGGAUACCGAGAGAUCCUCGGGAUACAAAGAGAUCCCUGGUAUAUAUUGAGGGUACUAAGAGAUCCUCGGGAUACUGAGGGAUCCCUGGUUACUUCAUUGUGGUUUGCUUUCAUCUCUGUUUUCCAUUAUUGUACUCUUAUUAUCCUGUAUAGAUUCUUACUGUAGAUUCUCAAUUGUAAUGUUUAUCUUAUCCUAUCACCUUUAUAUUUAAUUAAUCUCAGUAGAGUCCUGACCUUCCUCGUCACUACCCAAUCGAGGUUAGGCUUGGCACUUACUGAGUAUCACUGUGGUGUACUCAUGCCCCUUCCAAGCAUGUUUUUCACGUGUAGAUCCAGGUACCGCUACUCAGGCCUAUCAUCCUUGAGGAGGCGACUGCUCUUUAGACUUCGAGGUACAUUUGCCGCGUCCGCAGACCGAGAAGUCCCUUUCUAUUCUUGCUUUUAGUAUUUAGCCCUUCUGUAGUUUUCUGCUCUUAUUAGACAUUCCGGAGUUAGAUCUAUGUAAUAUUGAUCUUAGCUUGUGAUUCAUGGGUUUACGGGUCUUAGAUUUAUAUAUUGGUAUUGAGAGUUAAACAUGGUGUAAGCCGAGCGGCACAUUUAAAUACUGUUACUAUUUUAUUACUGUUUUAAAUUGUUUACUUCCGCAAAAUUUUGGUUUUUCUUUCGCAAAUUAGGCUUACCUAGUCAUAGAGACUAGGUGUCGUCACGAUGGUUCACGGAGGUCGAACCGGGGUCGUGACACAGAAGUAGAUUUAGGAACUAGAAAAGAAAAAGAAAGAAGAAAAGGAAGAAAAAGAAAAGAUAAGGGAAAAAGAAGAAAAGAAAAUAAAAAAAGAGAAAAAAGAGAAAAAAGAAAAAGAAAGAAAAGGAAAAAAAACCCAACUUUGUGUUUGAACUACGUUGGACCUGAUUCUUGUCACCUCAAGAUAUGUAGGCAGCCUUAUGGUUCGGCCACACCAAAUAAAAUAUUUCAUAAUCCCCGAUAUCAAGAGUGGGCCAGUUUUUUUAGAAAUCCCAUCAAAGCAAAAAUCCGAAAAAAAAAAAUUCCCCAAACUCUAAGAAACUGGGGCAGAAGUUUUAAUUUGGCCAAAAGACCUGAUUCCAAAAGUUGUAAUUUUGAACCCUUUCAUCUUAAAUUAUUUUGAGCCUUUACGUCACCCUUUCUUUCCAACCCUGUCCAAAAGCCUACAUUACGAUCCAAAGAAAGACCUUCCGACCAAUCUUUGAAUAUGCCAAAUCAAAUGUGUGGUAAAAGUAUGAUCUUCUUAUAUCAUAGGUAAUACCUUGUUCUCAGCACAAAGAGAGCAAAUGAUAAAAUGAGAGAGUCUUAUUGGUGAAAACCCUUAUGGGCACUAUAAGGCGACGGUGAGUUGAGAAAAAGAGUAAAAUUAGAGAGGUUUAAUGGUGAAAACCCUUUAGAGCUCUACAAGUCGACUGAGGAUUGUGGAUCAAAUAGGACAAUUGGAGCACUGAAGUCCAGUUUCACAACUUAGAGGCAUAACAAGAAUUGAAGAUUAGACUCACUUGACAGAUCAGGCUGCUUAAUCCAAAAUGCAUGUCAUGGUCAGUGGAGAUGGCCUUCAAAUCAAAUUAGUUUCUACCUUUUUCUUUUUACUUGGUAAAAAUAUUUUCUUGUUAGAUACUAUCUCUUCUUGUUUUUUCCCUGUAUUUUGUUUGAUUCCCUUUUGAGUCUGUUUUUGUCGAAACAAGUGAGAAAUGACUUCAAAAUUUGCCAUCAGCUUUUUAAUAACACAAAGCCGAGUCUGACAAGCACAUCAAGAUGGCAUAAGACACAGGAGAAUAGUGUGUGCACUGAGUUGGUGUUAAUAUAUGUUUUUUAGGAUUGAUGUAAAAUGCAAAGAUUUGGUGAAUGUUAGAACACGAGUGCAAUGCAUCGGGCAUAAGGUAUUGGACUUGAACGAAUCAGGAAUAUUUCUUGUGAUAAGGGUUGUCCGGAAAAAUGAUCAGUCGAUAACAAGAAUUGUCUUCCAAGUUGAGGUCCAAGUUGAUCAUGACAAGUGCAAGAGAAAUCUCCCUCGCAAUAAAGGCCACAAACUAACCACCAUGUUUUAAACUCACAAGUUUUCUUUGUAUUAAACAGGGAUGAAGGCUAUGUUCAUAUUAAAGCUUGAAUUUUUUACGUGUAAUGCCCCAAUUUUGCUUACGCAAAGGCUAUUGAGAAGAUCACACAUCACCCCUAGGGGACACACUUCCUAGUCUGGGUUUUUCAAGUUAUAUUUUUAUUAGGAGACACACUUCCUAAAUUGAGAUUUUACCCCUAAGAGAUGCACUUCAUAGUUUUGGAUCAUUUAAGUUCAUUCCUAGGAGACGCAGUUCCUAGUUCGAGUCAUUAAAAUUUCACCCCUAGGAGACGCACUUCCUAGUCCGGGUCUUUCAGGUUAUAUUUUUUGUUUUAGGAGAUGCACUUCCUAAAUCGAGAUUUUACCCCUAGUAAAACACUUCCUAGUUUUAGGUCAUUUAAGUUCAUUCUUAGGAGACACACUUCCUCAUUUUUUAGUCACUAAAGUUUCACCCUUAGGAGACACACUUCUUAGCCUAGGUCAUUCAGGUUAUACUAUUUAGGAGACGCACUUCCUAAAUUGAGAUUUUACCCUUAGAAGACGCACUUCCUAGUUUUGGGUCAUUUAAGUUCAAUCCUAGGAGACACACUUCCUAGUUUGAGUCAUUGAAGUUUUACUCCUAGGAGACGUACUUCCUAAUCUGGGUCUUUCUGGUUAUAUUUUUGUUUUAGGAGACACACUUCCUAAAUUGAGAUUUUACCCCUAGGAUAUGCACUCACUACUAUGGUUCAUUUAAGUUCAUUCCUAGGAGACACACUUCUUAGUUUGAGUCAUUGAAGUUUUCCCCUAAGAGACGCACUUCCUAGUCUAGGUUUUUCAGGUUACACUAUUUAGGAGACGCAUUUCCUAAAUCGAGAUUUAUACCUAGGAGAUGCACUUCCUAGUUUGGUUUAUUCAUGUUUCACCUGUAGGAGACGCACUUCCUAGUCUGGGACUUUCAAGUUAUAUUUUUAUUUUAGGAGACACACUUUCUAAAUUGAGAUUUCACUCCUAGGAUGCGCACUUCCUAAUUNNNNNNNNNNNNNNNNNNNNNNNNNNNNNNNNNNNNNNNNNNNNNNNNNNNNNNNNNNNNNNNNNNNNNNNNNNNNNNAGACGCACUUCCUAGUUUUGGUUCAUUCAAGUUUCACCCCUAGGAGACACACUUCCUAGUUUGAGUCAUUCAAGUUUUACCCCUAGGCGAUGCACUUCCUAGUUUGGUUCAUUCAAGUUUCAUCCCUAGGAGAUGCACUUCCUAGUUUGAGUCAUUCGAGUUUUAUCCUUAGGAGAUGCACUUCCUAGUUUGGUUCAUUCAAGUUUCAUCCUUAGGAGACACACUUCCUAUUCGAUUCUUUAGUUUUACUUUCGUCAUUGCAUCAAUAGCAUAGGUGAUUUACAGUUUUGCUAACAACUCAAAAAUCUUUCUAGUAUAAACUGGGGCAGAAAAUUUUGUUUGUUUUGUUGUUUUGAUUGCAGGCACCCACCUGUAGAAUGAGAAAAUUCUUUUCAGAGUUACUUCAAAUAUCAAGUCAGUAGCAGGCGCCCACUUGAAAAACGAGAGAAAUCAUUUCAAAAUUCAGUUUAAGUUAGAAGUAGCAGAAGCUCGCCUAAAAAUGUGAGACGAUAGUCCGAGAUAAUUAAAAGAAUAAAUCUCAAUCUAGAAUGAAAGAAAAUAAAAUAAAAGUAAAUCCAAAUACGGAAACAUAUGAAAGAUGUGAACUGCUCAAGACAUGGUUGAGUCACGAGCACUUCAUGUCCUGUCUUGAUCUGAAGAAGUCGUGGAAGCAUGAAUCAGCACCUGCAGCUAGAAAGCAUCAAGGUUUGAAUCUAAAGUCUGCAUGAAGAACCAUUCAACACUCAAGAUCAAACUUCAGAAGACUUAUAAAUAGUAAUCUUGUAACUCAUAGCUGACAGGCUUAGUUAGUCUUUUUCAUUUUUUUUAUUUUGAUGUAAUAACAGGACCGCGGACCGGAACCUCGACGGAACGGCACCUCAAUUGGCUCUCCACCUCGGUAUAUUUCAUCAUUGUUCCUAUUUCUGAACCUCACGUGGCCUGAUUCCUUUAUAGCCAAGGAUAAGUAGGCAGCUCACAUACCAGGGCUCGGUCACAUUCUCCUUUUUUUAGUUUUUGGUCUCUCUAAAUAAAGGUCGGGUCAAAAAAUCUGUCUCAUUGUUCUUUGUCUGAAAACUCUUCGUGUUUCUAGUCAAAGAGGGGCAACUAUAGACAUGUAAUUUUUGACCCUCCCCAAGAUUUUAUACAUUUUAGCGUUUAAAUAUUUAGUUUAAGUCUAAUAUCUCUAUUUUAACUAGUUUUGACUCUUUUACUUUAUUAUAUCAUAAAAAUAAAAAUUACAAAAAUAUUUUCUCUUGUUUAGCUAUCUAAUAUUUUAUUUAGUUUCUUUUAGUUUGUCUACCUUACAUAUAAUUCGAAAAUACAAAAAUAGUUACACUUUGUUUUCAAGGAUAUUAGUGUUUUUAGUAGAAGUAUUAUUUUAAUUUUGCGAUGAUUUUAAUCUAAUCCUAUUAUUAUUUUAGUAUGGCAUUUGAAAAAUAUCAAAUAUAGUUUCAUAUUUUAUAUAUAAUUUAGUUUAAUUAAUUAGAUUAAGUUUUGCAUUUUGUAGUAUAUUUAUCUUAUAUUAAAAGGAAUUUAACUAAGAUUUGGACAUUUGUUCUUAGCCCAAAAUUACUACCCAACAAGAUAUGGAUCCAACCCAAUUUCUUAAUUUUAAAGCCCAAUACCGCAUCUUUAAUUUUUUCCUAACCCUAAGAAACUCUUCUUCUUGGAGACACCUAAAAAUCCCCAACCGUUGCUCACCCUUCUUCUUCAUCAAAAGACCACCAAAAACCCUUUGAAAAAGGCCGCCGCAGCAAUAGCGAACUCCUCCAAAAAACACCCUUAAGCAGAAGUUGCUGCUUCUUCACGCCCAACACUUCUCCACCUUUCCAACUGCCGGACCCCCUCUCUUCACCCGCCAGCCACUGUCGUCUACUCUCCAAGGUCCAAACAUCAUCAUUUUCAACCCUAAGACCUACCUACUUCAAUCAUCUUCUCUAAAAACAACCACCCUUUAGCAGCACUCCCACGAACGACCUCAAGCCGUUGCCCACCUUCCUUCUUAACCCUAAAAACAAUCAAAAACUUAAUCAUCUCUGGACCCCAUCACCAGAAAAAACAAUGACCACUAAUCUCCCAAAAAUCUCUCUAAUCUUCCGCACCACGCACACACAGUAAAGAACACGGACAAGAUAUGGAUAAAAUUUAAAAAAUGGAGUUAAGCCGAGGCUGAUUCGAGGUUCAUCCAUGGAUCGUCGCGUUUUUGAGUUCAACAUUGAUUCACGGUUAAUUUUCAAAUUUGUUUGAGGUUGAUUUCUUCUUUAUUCAAUUUUGUUUUGCUUAAUUAAUAUCAUGAUUUCAUCGUUUCCUUAGUCUAUCUUUGCUUUUUUUCAUUGGUGGUAUGAGUUAGCAUAUGAUUGCUCUAUUUUGAGUGCCUUGGUAAUUUUCAUGCUUGUUUUUAUUGUUUGGUUUCUCCUGGGCACGUACUAUUUCUAGAAGUUGAUCUAUAUGUAGUCACUUGGGAUUAUUUGAUUUGUUAAUGGAUAUUCUUGUGAAUUUUGUCAAAUCUGGCUGCUAGUUGUUGGGUUUAAGAGAACAAUUUUUGGAAAUGUGCUUUAAAAUAAGAUUGGAUCUAAAAGUUAUGGAACGAGGUAAAACAUAAGUUGUUAGUGUUCUAAAUUUCUCAUUUACACAGAUCUAUUUACUAAUUUAUCACUACCAGCAUGCUUAGGCCGUCAUCACUUGGAUAGGCAAGCCUUAGGAUUUUUGUUGGCUUUGAGGCAAGAGGUCGUUCCCUUAGUUAAAUUUAUCUGGAGAAUGCUCUGAAGACUUUGUAUAUAUUUUUAUCCGAGGUAUACCUCGUAGUGAAUGUAAUUGAAGGCCACAACGAACAUCGUGGAGCGAGCACAGACUUUUAGUAUUUUUCCUUUUAUAUUAUUGUCUUUAUUUAGGUGGGGACAACCUCGAGCCUCUUGUGUGUUUAUUUCCCUUUUCCCGUG
rnacentral:lncRNA from 1 species